AUUGAACGCUGGCGGCAGGCCUAACACAUGCAAGUCGAGCGGAUGAAGGGAGCUUGCUCCUGGAUUCAGCGGCGGACGGGUGAGUAAUGCCUAGGAAUCUGCCUGGUAGUGGGGGAUAACGUCCGGAAACGGGCGCUAAUACCGCAUACGUCCUGAGGUAGAAAGUGGGGGAUCUUCGGACCUCACGCUAUCAGAUGAGCCUAGGUCGGAUUAGCUGGUUGGUGGGGCAAAGGCCUACCAAGGCGACGAUCCGUAACUGGUAUGCGAGGAGGAUCUGUCAAACUGAAACUGAGACACGGUCCAGACUCCUACGGAGGCAGCAGUGGGGAAUAUUGGACAAUGGGCGAAAGCCUGAUCCAGCCAUGCCGCGUGUGUGAAGAAGGUCUUCGGAUUGUAAAGCACUUUAAGUUGGGAGGAAGGGCAGUAAGUGAAUACCUUGCUGUUUUGACGGUACCAACAGAAUAAGCACCGGCUAACUUCGUG
rnacentral:rRNA from 1 species